AUUGAACGCUGGCGGCAGGCCUAACACAUGCAAGUCGAGCGGCAGCGGGAAAGUAGCUUGCUACUUUUGCCGGCGAGCGGCGGACGGGUGAGUAAUGCCUGGGAAAUUGCCCAGUCGAGGGGGAUAACAGUUGGAAACGACUGCUAAUACCGCAUACGCCCUACGGGGGAAAGCAGGGGACCUUCUGGCCUUGCGCGAUUGGAUAUGCCCAGGUGGGAUUAGCUAGUUGGUGAGGUAAUGGCUCACCAAGGCGACGAUCCCUAGCUGGUCUGAGAGGAUGAUCAGCCACACCGGAACUGAGACACGGUCCAGACUCCUACGGGAGGCAGCAGUGGGGAAUAUUGCACAAUGGGGGAAACCCUGAUGCAGCCAUGCCGCGUGUGUGAAGAAGGCCUUCGGGUCGUAAAGCACUUUCAGCGAGGAGGGAAGGUCAGUAGCUAAUAUCUGCUGACUGUGACGUUACUCGCAGAAGAGGCACCGGCUAACUCCGUGCCAGCCGCCGCGGUAACAC
rnacentral:rRNA from 1 species